rnacentral:lncRNA from 1 species
CCUGAAUAGAUAAAGAAGCAUGAAUCAGAUACCAAUCUUAUAUCUUACCCAAAAAUAUUUUCUCAUACUAAUUUUGUUGUUGUGCCGAAGAGAUAUGACUAGACCACCAAUUGUACCUCCAAAGCCAUUAAUUUCGGUGAAUCCUUGACCGAGUUUUCUGAAUCCCCAAUCAAUUUUAUCAUGUGGAAGGCUGACAAUGGGAACGCCAAAUAAAAAUUAUGAUUUGAUCCUUCGUAGCCCAUCCUAAUGAUGUCUUCCAACCUAACGCAUUACCAACCUCAAACCAACAAUGAAUCAUCAACUAAUCUCCCUUCCUUGCUAUCAUAUCCGAAGUACUAUCCUGCCAGCAGCUCCCAUACAAUCCUCAUCUGAUGUUUCUAUACCAUUACAUGAACCGCAUUAAGCUCCCUGUGCUUAAUCCAACCACCAUACCUUUAUAAAAUCUUCCCAAUCUUGAUUCUUAUCAUGAUGCUUGCAUCCUCACAUGCUUUUUGGAGUUUAUAAACUUCUUUGUUGAUUUUAUUAGGAUUCCUUGGCAAAAUUUGCUGCUCAAUUGUGUAUAAGCUCCGUAGUCAAACCAAAC